rnacentral:lncRNA from 1 species
UCCACCAAAAUUCAACCACCCUUUUGAAUAAAUCUCAUUUAUCCCUACAGGGUCUCUUAUAAUGGACCUAUCAAAAAAAGGUGUUAGAUGUUGAGGUAAUGACAAAGAGGGUGUGUUUUUUUCAAGGUUGGAACAAAAGUAAGACCAUGCUUUCAUAAACAAGGUUGAAGAUUUUCCAUCAACAGCUGCAUGGUGUGUGGUUAUACCAAUACAAAAUCCAUGGUUAGGAAAAAAAGUGACUUGUAGUGAAAUAAUUGAUGCUUUUUCAUUUGAAAUCUCCAAACUUGGGAUUAAGUGUUGUUUUUUUUCAACUUCACAAAAAUUUGAACAUAAAAGGUUGAAAUUUUCAUUUGAUUCAGCUACAAUCAAUGGAAUGGAAUCACUAGGGACAUAGUUGAUGAUGGGAUGUGAUGAAUCUUGUGGCCAUGUGAUGUUACCAACAAGAAGGAAGAGAGUGUUUGAGAUUUGGAAGAAUGGAAUCAAAAAAAGAAGUGGUUGAUAAAUUUGGGUGUUCAUAAAAGAAGAGACGUUCAACUGGUGGGAGUCUUAGCCAUAGUGAGUCAAAGAAAGUGAAGGGAAAAGUAGUUGGGGAGGUUUCAUUUUGAGGUGCUAUUGAAAAAUUUUUAUGAACUUUGAGAGAUAUUGCCAUGAGAAAUUGAUGAGGAAAUGAGGCUUGGCAAUUUGUAGACUUAAUAAGCAUUUUAUGAUGAUGAUGAUGAUGAUACAUAGGCUAUGAAUAUGCUUUCAAUAUAUGACAAGGACAUAUCUAGGAAUCACACGUCACAUGGUUCGAAUUGGUGAGGAUUUGAAGUAUUUAUCUAAGGGGAACUUCUACGGUACACUGUAAAUUAAGGUGUACUGGUAUUUUUAUUUCAUAAAUUUAUAAAUUAAUGAUCAAUUUUAUGAAAUAAAUAGUUAUUUAUCGGUAUUUAUAUUUUAGAAAAUACUAUUUCAUAUGUCAUUCAUUGUUUAUAAGAAUCAUAGUAUUUUUUUUAGAUAUUAUCGUAUAAAAUAAUCAAAGUUCUCUAUUAUAAGCGAUAAAAAUUCAAAAAAAUCAAUUUUAUUUCGUUUACGCUUGUGAUGAAUAAGAUUUAAUCAUUAUAAUUAUAAAUAAAAAAUAAUAAUAUUUUUCUUCAUAAAAUAACUCAUUUACCAAUAAAAUUAAAGGUUUGGUGUACCGAUACACUCAAAUAUGUUGGGUGUACCGUAGAAUUUGUCUAUGUAAGCUCCUUUUCACCUUAUUGUUUUGUUUUUUACUUUAGGAAAUUUUUGAUGUAGGAUGUCGGCAAAGAUGUUGAACAUAUUGGUUUCAAGUCAUACGUGUCGAAAAGGCAAGUUUGCAAAUAAAGGGUGACCAUUCUUUGGAUGAUCUCCGUGCUUUUUUUUUUUAUUUGUGUUUGAACUUCGAAACUUGCAUAUAUAAUGCAUUGUCUAUACCAACUAAAUUAAAUUCACGAACACCUCUUUGUGUUUAACGUUGAUAUAUAAAAUACUAACGAGUUUUUAAAAUUUUACCAUAUCAACUUUCUUAUAUUGUAUUUAAAAAUUUACUUAUGUAAUUUUAAAUUUUUAAAAUCUACAACAAGCGUGGGCCAAAUAUUUAACGUGUUUUGUAUAUAAAAUAAAAAAUAUUUAAUAAAAAAAUACAUUAAUGUCGAUAUUUUGAAAAUAGUCACGAGUUUUCAAAAUAUUAUCAUAUCGACUUUCUCGUAUAGUACAUAAAAGUUUACUUCUAUACAUUUGUCAAUUUUUUUUACUUCUAUAUCUAUAAGUAAAUAAAAUCUGCAACGGAAGCGAUGCAAAUAUUUAACAGAUUUUUGCAUACUAAAAAAAAAUAUUUAAUUAAUAAACCUCUUAAAACAUAUUUAACAUAAACAUUACAUUAAUGCCGAUAAUUUUCAUCUAAUACAUUUAUACAUUUUACAAUAUUUACAAUGUAAUUAUUUUUUAUAUAAUUACCACAAUAUUACGCGAUCUAUCUGAAUACACAUAUUUUUACUAAUGAUGCUUAAAGAGCCACCAUCGAUCUAAAAUGGUACACAAAAAUGAAUAUGAAUAUGUACCUUGACUGACCUCGACAUAAAUGUUACAAUAAUGACGUGGCUAUGCAUUGUUGCAUCUAGAAGUAAAACACCAGUACACCACCUUAAUUUGGUGAAAUUAUUCUACCGACACAAUCAUAAAUAAUAAAUAUUUACAUUCACAUCAAAUACAAAAAUUAAUAAAAAAUAAAACUAAAUAACAUUGAUUGAUGUGGUUUAUUUAUUUUUAUUUUAAUUUUUUCUAUUUGAUGUAAAUGUGUUCAAAUAUUUAUCAUUUUUGAUUGUGUUUACAUAAGAGUUUCUUAAUCAAUCCUAAACAAAAAUAUUCAUAGAAAAGAAUACGUGGACUGCAUAAUGCAUUAUUUCAAUUACUUGCUUAUCACAUCACAAUCACAUACUAUAUUAUUCCUUAAAAAAAUCACAUACUAUAUUACUGGCAUCUUGACAUUAUGCUAAGAAAAUAUAUAAGACGACAAAAAAACUAUGACUACAACAUGUUUGAAAGUUUACACUGUGGAGAGAUUCAAGGAGACAAACAUUGAAGGCGCCUUGAGUUUGAGAUAAAACAAGUAUAUGAAGCUAAAACAUCCAGAUUUGAGGAGGCAAAGCUUACCAUUCAUUAAUUCAUUUCAAUCUAACAAAUAUCCUUAAAAAAAAAUUGUGAAUAUUUUUCUUUUUUCUCUUUUACAAUUUGUUUUUUCUCCAGAUUUAUUUAAUAACUGAUGUAUUUAGUUUAUAUUGUAAACCAAAAACAUUAAUUAUAUAAUAAAUCUUUAAACAAAUUGUUUAUGUCUGAGACCAAAUUCAUAAUAAAAUACUCUCUCCGUUUCAAAUUGUAUAACGUUUUGGACAUUUCACACAUAUUAAGAAAUGUAAUUAAUAUUGUGUGAGAAAGAGAUAUUAUGAGUUGUUUUACAAAAUUGUCCUUAAUAAAUUAUAUGAGAAAGAUAAAUGAAUGAAUUGAAAGAAAAGAGAGUAAUAAAUAGUUAAAGACAUAAUAGAAAAAGUAACAUUAAUAUUUUAUUAGUAUUGUAAAGCGACAUAUAAUUUGCGACAAUUUUUUUUCUUUCUAAAAUGACUUACAAUUUGGGACGGAGGGAGUACAUAUUAACAUAAGUAUUUUAAUUUGACAAAAAAAAAAUGUAUUUUAAGAAUUUAUCUUGUCCUACUUGGGGUGAUGAGCUAGAAGACAUUGAGCGAGUUUAAAGCAAAAGGUCCUCAACAAUUUCAAUUUCCAAACUUAUAAAAACAAUUCAAAAUAUAAAUCCAAGAUGUGAAUCGUCUGAUCUAAAUCGAGAGAUUAAAAUCUACAACAGUACGAUUGUGUUUUUUUAAAAGGCAAAGUAAUAUAUGAUAGACAAUCCAUUUUCUUGAUACAAUUACAAUGAUUCAAGUCCUUGAACAAAAAGUUGAGCAAAAACCUCCAUUUGUUGUUUGUUCAAAGCCAAACCAAUCUCAAUUCCACCAUCAUUAUUCCUAUUCUCCGAAAGAGAAAAAGCUCCUGUUUUAUCAAUAGAAGUAACAUCAACUUUCUUAGGUUUACCCCAUCCAAAAUCAAAACUAUAAACAUCAAACCUAGGUGACCCGGCAAUAGAAAACAUCCUAUCUGUCUCACUCAUUGUAGAUUGCAUUAUUGACAUCCAAUUCUCCAAACCCUUCAACACACCAUUUUCCAAACCCUUCAACACAUCACUUAUCCCUUCAAGAGCACUAAUAAAUCCAUCAUCUUUUAAAAAUUCCUCGGUUUCACCCAAAACUAAUUUUGACACAACACAAUUUCCAAAAUAAUUUGCAUUAAUUGGUGGAUCCAAACGUGGCCUACAAUCCACACUAAAAAUAAAAGGUACCUUGUUGGAUUUUGGUUGGUCAACUUUUAUCGUACAUGCCAACAAAUAAGCACAAGUAACUGAAAAAGUUGAAAGCUUAAUAACCUUGUUAUUUUUUUCAAUCUUGGAUUGUGCAUGUUUCUUAAGCUUUUGAAUAUCCAAAGGUGACAAUUGAAAAAUACCUUUGGUUGCUUCACCCUUUAUUGUAUUAAUUGUUUCCCAAACCUUCAAGCUUCGAUUAUUUGUUUCUCCACCAAAAUUCAACCACCCUUUUGAAUAAAUCUCAUUUAUCCCUAUAGGGUCUCUUAUAAUGGACCUAUCAAAAAAAGGUGUUAGAUAUUGAGGUAAUGACAAAGAGGGUGUGUUUUUUUCAAGGUUGGAACAAAAAUAAGACCAAGCUUUCAUAAACAAAGUUGAAGAUUUUCCAUCAACAGCUGCAUGGUGUGUGGUUAUACCAAUACAAAAUCCAUGGUUAGGAAAAAAAGUGACUUGUAGUGAAAUAAUUGAUGCUUUUUCAUGUGAAAUUUCCAAACUUGGGAUCAAGUGUUGUUUUUUUUCAACUUCACAAAGAUUUGAACAUAAAAGGUUGAAAUUUUCAUUUGAUUCAGCUACAAUCAAUAGAAUGGAAUCACUAGGGACAUAGUUGAUGAUAGGGUGUGGUGAAUCUUGUGGCCAUGUGAUGUUACCAACAAGAAGGAGGAAGUGGUUGAGUGUGAGCUCAAGGGAAUGUUUGAGAUUUGGAAGAAUGGAAUCAAAGAAAAAAUUGGUAGAUAAAUUGGUGUGUUCAUAGAAGAACAAACGUUCAACCGGUGGAAAUCUUACCCAAAGUGUGUCAAAGAAAGUGAAGGGAAAAGUAGUUGGGGAGGUUUCAUUUUUUGGUGAUAUUGAAAAAACUUGAUGAACUUUGUGAGAUUGUGCCAUAAGGGAGGGAAGAAAUUGAUGAGGAAGUGAGGCUUGGCAAUUUGUUGACUUUAUAAACAGUUUAUGAUGAUGACGAUGAUGAUACAUAGGCUAUGAAUGUGCUCUCAAUAUAAUAAUAAUAAUAAUAAUAUAAUAAUACAUUCUUUAUAAAUCAAUUCCUUAAGGUAUCCAAUUUAUUUGCAUACAAAUAGUGCAUACAAACAAUUUCAACACUAAUAGUGCAUACAAAUCAAUUCCUUAAGGUAUCCAAUUUAUUUGGAGGAAAGAUGUCCCGUUUAAGAUAUCGGUAUUUGCUUGACGACUUUUUCGUAAUAGAUUGUCUACGAAUGAUAAUUUAUUUUAAAGGAGGAUUAUAUAGGAAUAUGCUCAGUUGUGUGCUUCUGGAUGUGGGAUGUUUGAAUCGGCGGAUCACCUAUUUUUGCAUUGCGAUGUGUUUGGUCAGGUUUGACAACUUGUUCGUCAUUGGUUAGGUGUUUCUUCAAUAAACCCAUUAACCACCUCGGAUCAUUAUCUUCAGUUUUGUAUUUCUUCUGGUUUUGCUAAUUCCAGAUGCUCUUUUAUGCAUUUAGUAUGGUUUGCAAGCAUUUGGGCAAUUUAGAAGGAAAAGAAUGCAAGAAUAUUUUGUGUAAAAGAAUCAUAAGUUCAAAUCUAGGUCACCACAUUUCACCUCGCUUAUGUGUGUGUUUAUUUGAAUAUUUGUUGGUGACUAAGCUAAUAAAAAAAAUACGCAGUAAGAUUCAAUAACAUGAUUUUUUAGUUUGUACAAAAAAAACAUAAUUUUUUAGUUUCCUCCUUGUUUUUUAGGACGAAGGAGGGUGCAAGAUAAUUAAAGUGGCUUCUUAUAAUUUUUUAUUUUAUAACAAUGAUAGUUUUAUUAAAUGCUAAAACUGUUUAAACAUUCAAUAUAUUAAGUUUUUUUUUUUGUUACGGUCAAUGCUUUUCUUAGUGUCAAUAUUAAAGAUAUAAAAAAAAAAAAAUUAAAAAACCGUUUAUGGGAUUUUAUUCUUCAUUAUUGAAGGCUGGAUCUAACCUAAGGAUCCAUCUAGACUUCAUAACGUGCAAAUCAAUAUUAGUUAAUGAUCUAGUCACGAUGAUUAUUUAUACUCAGUGUCUUACAUACUUCAAAUAUACUUAACUUUACUAGAGGAAACCUAAAACUUAUUUUCUCUGAUCACAUUUAUAGUAGAUAUUCGUCCGUUAUUUAAUUAAUCUAGAAAAUGAAUAGUUGUUUAUAAUUUUUGUUUUGGUAGUGUAUAGUUGUUUAUUAUUUUUUUUGACAAAAAUAAAAUGAUAUUCAUUCAUUCAAAUCGAGAGAUUACAUCAUUCAACACCGCUAAAAACGUAAAGGAUGAAUCUGCGAACAAACUUACAUCAUCUAAGUUAAUAGCAUAUAACAACAUAAUGCCUACAAAAAUAUAUGAUAAAAUUAAAGUGAUCGGAAUAUCCAUGACCUCCGAAUCUGCAACGUUGAUGCCCAAAUCUUUGAUUGAAUAAUCGAUCUUUCAAUAUGAAUCAAAUGAACACCUCACGAAGACGGGAAAUCAAACAACACCGCACAAGACGACGAACAACAAACCACCACACUUAGAUGAUGAAAUCACAAAGGAAAAACAAAAAAACCUAGAUCUAUAUAUGUGAAAAUCACUUAUUUAGAUUGAAAUAGAGAGAAAAGAUGAAGAUGAGUGAUUUCAGGUCAAGAAUUGACCCAAAACCACCCCUCAAUGGAGAAACUGUAAGAGAAAACCUAAAGAGAUAAAACUAGAUUUGCCUUAUUAGUGUAUAGUUGUUUAUAAAUGUAACAAGAAUUUUAUAUUUUUAAUGUCAUAUAGUUUUUUUGUUAUAUCACUAACAACAUAGCCUUAAUAUUUAAUACUACUAAUUUUAUUUUUUUUGAAAGAAUUUAAUACUACUAUUUUGAAAACUCGUAUAACAUGCAUUCAAUGAAGGGCGUAAGCCCUCUUUUACCACAAAAAAAAAAACUCGUAAUGGAUGUUGCUAUCAACGUAGUCGUGAGUCUAUGAGAAACGAAUCUUAAUUGUUGAGUUAGGUCAAUACAUUUGUCUCACCAACUCCGUCAUAUGCAUCCAAGCAGGCAGGCAGCUGUAUAUCAUUUGGAUUUGGAAGCUUCUUUUCUACUUUUGAAAAUCAUUUCUAAAAUAUACUAAAAAAUUUAAAAAUUUAUGUCAUUCUAAGACAAAAAUACUUUUUUAUUUAUUUCCAAAAUACAUUUUUUUAUGUGAAAAAAUAUAUUUUCAUAUUUGUGGUAGGAGAGAGAAGCUCUCAUUUCAUUUAACAUAUUUUAAAAGAGAUAUUUGAGUCAAAAAAAAUUAAUGUAUCUGAUCAAAAUAAAACCAAAUACAUCUAUCCGUUGAUUUAAAUGUUUUUUAUAUCUAUAAUUGGGAUUGUAUGAACUUAGUUUUUCAUUUUGUAUGGCAAGCAUAUGAGUUAUGUCCACACUUUUAUUAUCGCAAAAUUAAAUGACGUGGUAGUUAACAAUUGUUUCAAUGUUGUUUUUCAUUUGAAUUAAACAUUCAAGACAUUGUUUAGUUUUAUCUUCUUUCUAAUGUACUUUUAGUUGCUUCAUCAUGUAUAAUAUUAUAUAUGUUAGACAAAUCUCUCUAUUUGCUAAAAAAAAAGAGACAAAUCUCUCUAUCUCCAUGUAUAUUCCAUACUUAAAGCUUAUCUCUAUGUAUAUUCUAUACUUAAUGCUUAUUUUUGUCUAAACUUAAUCUUAGCUUGGCUCAGAUGGCUCAUAUAUGUCAAUGUAUUUUGAUAGUUGCGGCUGUGUUGAAUUGUAAAUUUAAAACAUUUUAAUAUAUGGGGUUUAAGUUGAUUUUAAUUAAUUAUGUGUUGAUGGUACGUGAGUCGACUUCGUGUUAACGAUCGAUUCAUUUGCUAAAUGUUAGAUCCGAGCUUGAUUGUUAGAAUUGUUUAAGAUUGGAUCUACUUUAUGGAUAUUUUAGGGUUGUUGACCGAGUCAGGUUUUAUGUCCCUCCAAUUUUUAUGUAUUUUUUAAUAAUAUAUAUGAAUAAUUGACACUGAUUAGAGUAACAUACCAACUUAGUUGGACACUAUUCCUUUUUAUGUCAUUUUACUCUUAGCUUAUAAAAAAUUUAAUCAUGUGUUUUUUUUAUAAAAUAUUUUCUUUCAAAAACAAAAAUCUUAAGAAAAAAAGUGAUGUUAACAAAGAAAAAGGGGUUAAAAUCCUCUCCAUUCACUAUUUAUUUUUUGUUCAUUGAGGUGACAAAACAAAAGACCAGCACUAGGAGUAUCAAUAUAGCAAUGCAAGGGGGAGUUGGAAGUAAAGAAAUUGUCACGUUUUCCAACUAAUAGCAUGUUUGGAUUUAUGUUGCAGUGCCUUUUUCGAGUCUCAUUGCGUUCUAGACGUGAUAAUAAAGAAGCUUUAAUUUGUAGAGUUUGGAAAAACGUACGUUUGGUGGUAUCCCACUGUGGAAACAAACACAAGUUAAAGGAGGAACAACGGCAAACACUUUGUGAAACAAUUGAGCUUAAGACGUUUUGGUGAUUGAAAUCAAAAUAUAUUACAUUCGAUUUUGAUUACUAUUUUUUGAAGGAUUAAUCAUAUUCAUUGUUUGUCUUUUUUUUUAAGAGCAAUGAUACAUGGACAUUCCCAUGUGGCAUACCACCAUCUACACCCUUCCAUGUGGCAUUUUUUUAUUAGUUAUAAUGGGCAAUUUUGUCUUUAAAAAUAAAAUGAGGGGCAAUUUUGUCCAAUACACUCACAACAACUUUCUCACCCUCUCUUUUCUGUCUUUCUUCUCCUUUACCGGCCACCACCACCAACUCCCACCGGCCACCGUUGUCCUCCGUCCUCAACCUCAAAUAUCACAUCUACCACCACCAUCGCCACCGUCCAAAAGCUAGAUCUCACAACCGUCGCCCUCGUCUCGAAGCUCAGAUCUCACCACCACUGCAGCCACCACAACCACCGUCAUUUUCAGAUCUAAACACACCCAUCGAUCGUCAUCAUUAACCUCUCAUCUCGACGCCUCCACCACCACCGUCCUCGCACUCUUUCUCCAAAACACAACAACAACAAUUUUAAACAAACCCAAAACAAGAGACGGCGAUGGCGUCGGAAUUUGAGGAAACAAGUGGCAGAGAGAAAGAGGUGAGGGAGAAGAGAGAAAUAGAGACAACCAUUUGAGGAGAAGGAGAGAAAAAAAUCAGAAUAGAGAGAUAUGAGGAGAAAGAGGAGAUCGGCAGGAAGAGAGAAGGAGAAAAUAAAAUUAGGGAGAGAGAAAGAUGAGAUAAGAUUUCAGGGGAGAGAGUGACAAAAAAUUUAAAAUUAAAAUGCCAUGUAGGAGGUGUACAAUGUGGUAGAGAAAAAAGGAGGUCUAUGAUGUAUCCUUUUUCUUUUUUUAAAGUUGUUCCUCUCUUUUUUUGCUUAUCCUUUAUUGAAUUUGUGAUGUAACAUUGUAACUCUUGUAAGUUUUUCCGAUAAACCUUGAGUUGGAAGGAGAAAUAAUACAAAGGUAAGGGACAUAGACCAAACCCACAAUGAACAUAAGGAAAUUUAUGAUUAUGCAAAGUUGAAUAUAUUCAUAAAGAAAUCCACCUACAAAAGCUUUGUCAUCGCAUUCCACCAACUAAAAUCAGAAAUGAUCAUACAAAUGAAACUAACCAAAAUAUGAAAAUUCUAUUAAUGAUGAUAUAAGUAUCUACCGAGUUCCCUUAAAAAAAAUAGUCUAUACCGAGUCCAAAACAACUAAAAUACUCGUAUGAGUUUAUACAAAUAAGUACUCCGUCCUAAAUUAUAAGUAAAAAAAACCUAUUUUCUUUGUCCCAAAUUAUAAAUAAAAAAGACUAACUUUUAUCAUAUUCAAAUAUGUUUUUUUAAAAAAUUAUCUUUUUCAAAGGAAAAUUAAAUGCAAAAUGCAUUCAAUUUGCUCUCAUUUUCAUUUUCUCUAUAAUCAACUACCAAUGAAAAUUAUUUUUACAUCUUCCUAUAAAACUUAUUUCAAAGAUAACACAAAAAACUAUGUUACAAACUACUACCUAUAUUUUAAUUUUUUUAAUAAAUGUGAUUUAUGUUUUUUUGCUUAUAAUAUAAAACGGAGGGAGUAUAUUCAUUAAUUUAACCAAGAAUGGUGUACUGUACCCAACAUAUUUAAAGUGUAUCAGUUCAGUUCAUCAAGAAUGAUUAAACACAUAUUUUAUCAUUAUUUAUGAAUCAUAUGCAUGAUUCGAUUAAUUAAUUGAGACUAAAUUAGAUAUUUAGUUUCAUAAUUGAUUUUAUAGUUUUAUUUGGUCUCAUAACUACAACUACUUGCGCAUUGGUCCCUAAAAUAGAUUUUCGUUAGUGGUCUCAUUAUGUCAAUUUAAACCUCAAAUGUUUAAGGUGGAUCAACAUUGUAGGUACUACAAUAGAUCUCAUUAUAUAUAUAAUUUUAACCAUUAUAUUUUUUUAUAAAAAAUGGGGAUCAUUGGAUAUCAUGUAGAUCUAUUAUAUCUUAUCGUAAACUAUAACACCCUACUUCUAUUAAAGCAAUUAAACAUGCGAAUAAUACAUUUAUUCAAGAAAUAGAGGCUACGCCACAUUCAAAAUUCAAAAAACCAAUAAACAUGUAUAUAAACCUCAACAGUCGCAGCGGAAUAUUAACCAGAGUAAAUCCAAGUAUACAUGUUAUGAAUCAAUAAAUUACAUCAACAUCGAUGCAUCUCAAAAAUCCCAACAAACGGGUAAUCUCCAAUCAUAACAAAAUCCAAAAUAUAAGAUAAUCUAGACCGACACAACGAAGCCUAGAUCAGAGCCGACUAAACAUCUAAACACCGAUAUCGGAGAAAGCUCGCGAUAUCCACCAAGCACAAUACUCACCAAGCAUCCUACACUUGCACAACGUCUACCCAUCCAUACAGAUAGGCAGGCGGUCCAUAACAGAUCCACUGGGGGUAAGUAUUACAUUAUCAUAAUACAAAUAACAAAUAACAUAAAUAUUUCAAUUUAAACAUCAUGCAAUUGAUCAAUAAUAAUAACACAUUAAUACUUACAUCACACCCCGAUAUCUCACAUCAAUAUUCAUCAAUCAUAUGAACAAUUAUCAAUUUACAAAUAUUCAUUCACAAUCACCAAUCACAUUUAUCAUGAAUAAUCAUUAAUCACAUUUCAUGAACAAUCACCAAUUACAUGUAUCAUGAAUAAAUAUCAAUUAACAGUUAUUCAUACACAAUCACCAAUCAUAUACAUCAUGAACAAUCACCAAUCAUAAGCCAUGAACAUUCACCAAUUACAUUUCAUGAACAAACAUCAUUCACAUGUAUCACGUACAAUCAUCAACACAAGUAUCAAGGGCAAUCAUCAAUCACAUACAUCAUUUAAGACUCAUGUCAUGAUAUGCACUUAUUGACACAUAAAUGCAUGUGGUACCAAAUCUCAACAAGGUCGUCACCUUUCGAUGCCACUUGCACAUCGUAUGUAAGGCUCACACCUGCCUUACAAUAAUCUCGAAGUAAAAGAGCUCAACCCUUUUACAACAACAUCGACUAUGAUGCAUGGACAUGUAUAAGGACUCGAUAAUGCGACAACAAUUAACAAUCUCAACCUCAAUAUAUAGGACAACACCCAAUUAUAUUGAUUAUCUCCACAACAUUGCAUUAUCAAGAAAACAUGCCCACACAAAUAAAUCAUAGCAUUCACCAUCACACCUCAACAUGAUUAUCAAUAAUCAACAAUGUCAUCCAACAUCAACUAUCACAUAUAGUUUCACCAUUUCAAACAAUUCUCAUAUUCCAAGUAAGAGAACAUACAACAUCUCAUGACAAAUAUCAUAUCCAACAUAUAAUCAUUCAACAUCAACUAUCACAUAUAGUUUCACCAUUCAAGCAUUCCUUACAUUCUAAGUAAGAUAGCAUACACAUCUCAUGAUAAACAUCAUAUCCAAUACAAUCAUUCAUUCAAACAUCUUCACUUAGUCAUAUAAGGAUAGUCACGAUAGAUUAUAAGAAAAUUGGUUCAAAGGAAACAUUUCCGACAAAAACCGUAUCAAGUGGCAAAAGGCCAACAUUGAUAAUUCCCAAGACAAAGCAACUUAGACAAAUUGAAAGCUCUCAAAAAAUCUUAAUCAAUAAUGUAGUCAUGAGCUUAAGCCACUUACAAACUAUUAGACAUCAGUUCAAAGAAUAACUUAAGUUCGUAUGAGAAAACCCAAUUUCACAAUCUUUCACAUUCCCAUCCGAAAUAUCAUUUUUGACAUGAUUAAGAUGUUUGACCAACCAUACAAGUCUUACCUAAGUCUAUAAGAGAUGUAGGUUUAACUUGUAAUCCUAUUUAGUUCACAAAAGUUCAUUUUGACAAAAUCCGACAUUUCCUAAAAUUCCAAGUUCCAUAUCAUUUCUUCCAUAUUUCAAAACCAAUUCAUUUUCAAAACAAAAACCAAGUUAGGAUCAAGCUAUGAUACUCUUAGAAGCUUAAUUAUAAAUUGAUUGAAUAAGGUUAAGAGUUUGGAAUCCAUUGGCAUGCUUAAAAGUACACAAAAACACGAAAAAACGAGGUUUCGGAAUUCUGCAGAACUGACACGGUCGUGCCAUCAGGAAGCACGGUCGUGCUCCCUUUACAGGAGAAACUGACACGGUCGUGUCAUCUAGACGCACGGUCGUGUCACCUCACCAGUACAGCAAAAUGCAUUUUUACGUUUUUGCGCAUAAAAUCUUGUUUUCGAAUCCGAUUUCAAUUCCGUUUUCGCCAAUGAAUUCCUAACACUUAGACCAUACAAACCACACUUGAAAACUUGACAUUUAAACAUUAAAACAACUUAAUCAACUCAUCCCAAAAUGACUUAUUUUGCAAAAGCACUUAAAAACCACUUUUACUCAAAAACCCGUUUUCUUCCCAAAACGAUUUCUCUCCAAAACCAAGUGAUUAAAACAGAAAAUCAUACCAUCAUAAUUCAUUAUAACAACUUCCUUAUCUCAUUCAACAUCAUCAAAAUCAAACUUCUUCUUUAUCAACCCAUUUUACAAAACCACCAACAACAACUCAUUUUCUCAACAACAAUCAUGAUAUAUGAACACCCAAGCCAAAAUUCAUGAUCAACAACAUAUCUCAGCAACAACAACAUCAAUUGAAACUUGAUUCACACACCAAUUCAACAACAACAUGUCAUAAGUCAUCAAUUAAGCAUAAUUUCACAACAACCCAUUUUCAUACAUUAUGAACAUAUUAUUUCAUCAUCAACCAUUCAUUUAACAUCAAAUAACAUAUCCAAACAUAUCUCUACAACAUAAGCACGAAUUUCAAAGAUUGGGUUCAUGAUAAUCACUUAUUCUCAUAAUCAAUUAUGCAUAAAAUCAAGAGAAAAAGAAUUAAACAAAUGAUUAUGAUAAAGACUAACCCCCUUACCUUUGAAGAUGAUUAUUCCUAAACUCUUGCUUCAAUUCAGCUCCUAAUCUUACCCCAAUUAUUCCUCAAGCUAUUCUCUUCAAAACCCUUGUUCUUCUCAUCACCUCUUUCUCUCUCUAGGAAAAUUUUAGUGAAGUGAACGAAAGAUAUUUUCUAUGACAACCCUAAUGUUAUCUCCCUUAAUGGGCUUAACUCAAAAUGCUAAUGGGCCUAACCCAUUCUAACAUAAUUCUAAAAAGUUUCUAUACACCCCACGGUAAUUACUAACAACGGUAAAACAUAACCAACUGUCACUAACGGUAAAAACUAAUCACAACACUAGUAACUUAGUAAAAUAAGGGUUCUCACUUAAUAUGAAAAUAAUUCUCACCCAAAUUACCAUUUUACCCUUACCCGUCAAAUGACCAAAAUACCCUCCUAAUACGGAAAUCCAUGUAAAUGCACCCACUGACAAUUAAUUACACACAAGCACCAAUAAUCACACACAAACACAUAAUAAAAGUAAUUAAAAUAAAUCUAGCUAAAAAUCGGGCUGUUACAUAAACCACCAACAAUUAAUUUUUUAUUUUUGUUUUAAAAAAAUAAUAAUUUACUUUUCUUCAUCUUCUUCCUCCAUCUUCUUCUUCCUCAUCUUCUUACACAUUCAAACCUAUAAAAUAAAGCUGAAUUUUUUUUUUAUAAACUUGAUCUUCAUCUCUUCUUCUCUCAAAAGUUUAAAACUCAAUUCAUUUUUAUAAAAACUCAAAUUCAGGAGUUUCCCUCCUUCCAAAUACUUCAAAACAAACCAUUUAUUAAGAAAGUGAGAAAGAGAGAAAUGAUUCAUUAACUUGAAUAGAAGUUCAUGAAGGUAUUUUUAUACAUUUCUCAAAUGUACUAUAUAUCUAAGAUGAAGUGUACUACAUAAAAUAACCUAAUUGUACAACACUAGCUUUGUGACUUGUACUGCAAGCUAUCUUCAUUCUCAUGCUUUUUAUCCUUUGAAUCUAAUAGCAUUCGAAUUAGAUGCAAACAAGACUGAGUAUUUUCGGAGAAUAAAGCAAAGCCACCAGACUAAAUAGAAUGAUCAACAACAAAAUUAGAACUAAAUCCUAAAUUUUAUCAGAAAAUUCACAUUCAAAAAACAAAUGAUUAACAGUUUCAUCUUUUCAAAAAAACAAUUUCAUCUUUCUCACAUCCUAUAGUAAUAACAAGAGAUUCAGAACGAAGAAUCUCACGACGAACUAAAUUGGCCUUUGUAGAAAUCCUAUUAUUGAGAAGCCACCAAUCAAACAAGGACAAUUUCAACAAAGUUGUUUUAUUCCAACUAACAUUCAAGAGAGCUGAAGAUGUUGGAUAAAUUAUUUAAUUAAUCAAUUAUAAAUUGAUUCUAACAAAUUUUCAGAAAUUAUUUUUAAUACUACUAUAAAUUAUGGUACAUUAAUGUUUUAAGAAUUAAGUAAUUGAUGAAUAUGUGUGUUAGACUCUUUUUCUGAAUGGACAUGAUGGAUCAAACCAUACAAUUAAGCUCAAUUCGAGGUUCGUGUCCUCGAUCGUUUAACUAAUUCAAAGUCAUCCUAUCAAACGGUUAAACAUAAAACAAUAAUGUAAUAUGUGUAUGCAUUCAUGAUCUAUCUUUGAUAAUGUAAAAUAUAUGUUGUAAUUUGUAUUUUGAUAUGGCUAACUCUGUUAAAUUCAACAAUGGUAUCGGAGAAAAAAUAUAUAUUUUAUGGGUAUUUGUUUUUGAAUCGUCUGAACGGAAUAUGUUUUCCCCGUAUACUUAUUUUCAAUUGUUUGCAUGGGGCUAUUGUAUUGUUUGUUAAACCCUAUGAAGAAAAUUGUUAGAAGGGCUAUGAUGUACUACUGUCGUACUGAGAGAUGUCAAUGAAUGACUAAUGGUUAGAAGGGUUUACGAAAUUCCUUGGAGUCACUGCUGAUUAUUAUAUGGUUGAAUUAUGGGGAAUUUAUGAGCGUCUUUGCAUAGCAAGACUCUUUGGUAGUUGUUUAGAACACAAGGCAUGAGAAUAAUGAUAGUGUUAUGGAUAUAAAUCUUAUGAAGAAAAUCGUAGUGUGAGAAUCAAACUUUAAAUCUUGAGAAAGAGUACAUUUCAAAAAUCCAAGUCAAAACCAUCAGUGAGAAAGUCGAAUGAGUCAAACUAAGAGAUUUUGAUCACUCAUGUGUCUCAAAAAGCUAACAUGAGUUAUAAAAUUUUGAAUUUUUUUCACAGUCAUAUUUAGUUCAUUAUAAAAUUUUGAUUUUUUUUCACAGUCUUAUUUAGUUCAUUAUAAAAUUUUCUCUUACAAAAGUUUAAGUUUUUUAAAAAUGAAUGAAUUAAAUGUUAAUUUUUUACGUUUUGCUGCUUUAAAAUUCAUAUUUUGUUAAAAAAAAUCUUUUUUUUUUUCAAUCAAAAGAAAAUAUAAAAAAAAGAGGAAAUAGAAAAGCUAAGGGGGCAUAAACCUGACUCAACAAUCACAUAAUCAACCCAUAAAGCGUAUUACAACAGUGAUUAAACAAAAGUGGUAUAAAGAUACAAAUGCUUUGCGGUCAAAUACACAAGUACAAUUCGGCAAACCCAACGCGGGAUACGAAACCAAAUUUCAAAAGAAAGUGACGUAAAAAACAACAAGCAUAACCAUCAAACCAGACUAGAGACGAAUCUAAAUGAAAUUCAAACUCUUUUUUUUUUUUUUUUUUGUGGCGUAUGAACUGCCGCCAACACGGACAGAUUCACUGACCACCUACCGCUACAAAUAAAGACAGCAAGCAUCGCGGCCCUUUCGAGCACAACAAACUCUAAAAAAAAAUAUCUAUUUUGAGAGAAACCAUUCUUGUAAAAGAAAAACAUUGAGAGAAAAAGUAGAUGGAACAUGGCAUAACAUUCAUUAAUUCGAUCUAACAAAAUUGAUAUCUAAGAUGUGUGAGUGUUGUAAAUCCUUCAAAUUUACAAGGAUUCAAGUCCUUGAACAAAAAGUCGAGCAAAAUCUUCCAUUUGUUGCUUGUUCAAAGUCAAACCAAUCUCAAUUCCACCAUCAUUAUUCCUAUUUCCCGAAAGAUAAAAAGCUCCUGGUCUAUCAACCGAAGUAACAUCAACUUUCUUAGGCUUACCCCACCCAAAAUCAAAACUAUACACCUCAAACCUAGGUGACCCGGUAAUAGAAAAAAUCUUAUAAGUCUCAUCCGUUCUAGAUGUUUUAGAUUGCAUCAUUGACAUCCAAUUUUCCAAACCAUUUAACACACCAUUUUCCAAAUCAUUCAACACAUCAAUUAUCCCUUUAAGAGCACUAAUAAACCCACCAUCUUCCAACAAUGCCUCAGUUUCAUGCACAACUAAUCUUGACACAAUACAAUUCCCAAAAUAAUUUUCAUUAAUUGGUGGAUCCAAGCGUGACCUACAAUCAACAGCAAAAACCAAAAAUGCCUUAUUGGGUUUUUGUUGGUCAACUUUAACCCCUAAUGACAACAAAUAAGCACAUGUAACCGCAAAAGUUGAAACCUUUUUAUUUUCAACCUUAGAUUGUGCAUAUUUCUUAAGCUUUUGAAUAUCCAAAAGUGAUAAUUCAAACAAACCUUUGAUUGCUUCACCUUUUGUUGCACUUAUUGUUUGCCAAACCUUUAAGCUACGAUUAUUUGUUUCUCCACCAAAAUUCAUCCAUUUUUUUGAAUGAAUUUCAUUUAUUCCUAAAGGGUCUUUUAUAAUGGACCUAUCAAAAAAAGGUGUUAGAUUUUGAGGUAAAAACAAAGAGGGUGUGUUUUUUUCAAGGUUGGAACAAAAAUAAGACCAAGCUUUCAUAAACAAGGUUGAAGAUUUUCCAUCAACAGCUGCAUGGUGUGUGGUUAUACCAAUACAAAAUCCAUGGUUAGGAAAAAAAGUGACUUGUAGUGAAAUAAUUGAUGCUUUUUCAUGUGAAAUUUCCAAACUUGGGAUUAAG